ensembl:lncRNA
ACAGGGCGACAGGGCCUCAUCAACGGAGGGCUCCAGUGGGUACCGGAGCGAGCCCGUCUCAGCCCAGUACUACCGUCGCUAUGACGACCACCUGCCCCACUACUGCACCGACAGGCGGCGGGAACCCAGGGGCCCCCCAGACCCCACGGGGCCCCCAGACCCCACCCAUAAGAACACCACCAACACCAGCCUCACUGCACAGGUUUCUGGGCAGCAGACGGAGCUCCUCCACCUAACCCCACCGGCCCCCGCUGUUUCUCUGAGCUCAAACUCCCUGGACCCGCCCUCUCUGCCGAGGAAGGGGAGGAGUCUCAUGUUGCCGUGGUGAUAUCAGCGGACAGGAGAGGAAACCAAAGGGGCUACAUUUUUAUACAGACACUUUUCGUGCUCUACGACUUCGUAGAACGUGAACUACGCACUGCCAGGCUCACAGCGAUCGGACGUUCUCUGGUCAGCUACUAAACACUACAGUAGGGCUAUCUUCCUGCACUGGUCUGUUGGUCUGAGACGGUCUCUGGUCAGCUACUAAACACUACAGUAGGGAUAGGUUCCUACACUGGUCUGUUGGUCUGAGACGUUCUCUGGUCAGCUACUAAACACUACAGUAGGGCUAGGUUCCUACGCUGGUCUGUCGGUCUGUGACGGUCGGACAGCCAUGAGGCAACGCCCAGUGCCUUCGGUGUUCUUACAGGAGUUGUCGCUUCACAGCCACCUCUCCGACCAAUCAGAGGAACCGGAUACACCGGCCCAUACCCCGUGUCGGUUCUGGUUGGCUGUACGAUGUUUCAUACGAUUUCAUUGCCCUGUACGAUGAUUAAUGUCUUUUUGUUCGGAUGUACGAUGUUUAAUGUCUUUUUUUUUUUCCGGGUUAUGUUGAAUAUGUUUUUGCUCUAGGAUCUGUUCUUCAGCUCUAAAAGGUUUAAUGCUAAAUGUUAAUGUAGUGUAGCACCGUAAUAUUGCUCUAUAUGUUCUAUUGUUGCCGUAGUUACCAUGGAUUCACACUUAUCCACGAUGGGAUAUGUCGUCUGUAAUAAGUUAUGGUACUUCAACAGGGGGAUUCAUGAAUCCUAUUUCAGCAUUUGUUUGGAGACAUAAGGUUAGCUGGUGGCUAGCAAAUACUAGCCUAUCCAGUUAUACAAGUGAUCCACAAAUACCAGCGAACGCUCGGAUCAGAAAGGCUUGAGAGGAGGAAGACGAUGGGGGUGAUGAUGGUGUAAAGCUUCAGUUUGUGUAUAGUUGUGAUGUGAUUAAAUAUGUUAUUAUUUACAGCCGAUGGUACAGUCAUGUUAUUCGACACCUACACUGUUCUCCGGGCCUGCCUCAUUUUCGUAUAUUGUAUUGUUUUGCUUCCUGGUUUGGAAGCAAACAAAGCUGGGAGUUUUGUGCGGAAGUAAAGAUACCCGAGUCCUCCGGUUUCAUGUCUUAGCCUACAAACUUCUUAGGGGCGUUUUCUGAACUCUUAUUUCGGAAGAAUGGACGGUUUGCGCAAAAACAUGUCAGAGCUUCAGAACCUCGGAGCUGUUUUGAAGGCAGCAUUACAUCACGUUCUGGUUCUUUGUAUUUUCUUACUUCCUGCUUGUGUGAUGUCAUUUCCUGGUUGUUUGUGAUAUCACUUCCUGGUUCUUUGUAUUUUCCUACUUCCUGGUUGUGUGUGAUGUCACUUCCUGGUCCUGUGUUCUUUCUUCUUGGUUGUGUUGUGUAUGUGUUGGGUGCUAGUGGGAUUCACGUGAGGCAGAG